AACGAACGUUGGCGGCAGGCUUAACACAUGCAAGUCGAACGCCCCGCAAGGGGAUGGUCAGGCGGGGGAGUAACGCGUGGGAACAUACCCUUUUCUACGGAAUCGCUCUGGGGAACUUGAAUUAAUACCGUAUACGCCCUACGGGGGUAAGAUUUAUCGGGGAAGGAUUGGGCCGCUUUGGAUUAGCUAGUUGGUGGGGUAAAGGCCUACCAAGUCGACGAUCCAUAGCUGGUCUGAGAGGAUGAGCAGCCACAUUGGGACUGAGACACGGCCCAAACUCCUACGGGAGGCAGCAGUGGGGAAUAUUGGACAAUGGGGGCAAGCCUGAUACAGCCAUGCCGCGUGAGGGAUGAAGGCUUUAGGGUUGUAAAGCUCUUUCAACGAUGAAGAUAAUGACGGUAGUCGGAGAAGAAGCCCCGGCUAACUUCGUG
rnacentral:rRNA from 1 species